rnacentral:rRNA from 1 species
GACGAACGCUGGCGGCGUGCUUAACACAUGCAAGUCGAACGGAAAGGCCCUGCUUUUGUGGUGUUCUCGAGUGGCGAACGGGUGAGUAACACGUGAGUUACCUGCCCUUGACUUUGGGAUAACUUCAGGAAACUGGGGCUAAUACCGGAUAGGAGCUCCUUCUUCAUGGUGGGGGUUGGAAAGUUUCGGCGGUUGGGGAUGGACUCGCGGCUUAUCAGCUUGUUGGUGGGGUAGUGGCUUACCAAGGCUUUGACGGGUAGCCGGCCUGAGAGGGUGACCGGCCACAUUGGGACUGAGAUACGGCCCAGACUCCUACGGGAGGCAGAAGUGGGGAAUAUUGCACAAUGGGCGGAAGCCUGAUGCAGCAACGCCGCGUGCGGGAUGACGGCCUUCGGGUUGUAAACCGCUUUCGCCUGUGACGAAGCGUGAGUGACGGUAAUGGGUAAAGAAGCACCGGCUAACUACGUG